rnacentral:rRNA from 1 species
ACGCACGCUGGCGGCAUGCCUCACCCCUGCAAGUCGCACGAGACCUUCGGGUCUAGUGGCGCACGGGUGCGUAACGCGUGGGAACCUGCCCUUAGGUUCGGAAUAACUCCCCGAAAGGGGUGCUAAUACCGGAUAAUGUCUUCGGACCAAAGAUUUAUCGCCUUUGGAUGGGCCCGCGUUGGAUUAGCUAGUUGGUAGGGUAAAAGCCUACCAAGGCGACGAUCCAUAGCUGGUCUGAGAGGAUGAUCAGCCACACUGGGACUGAGACACGGCCCAGACUCCUACGGGAGGCAGCAGUGGGGAAUAUUGGACAAUGGGCGAAAGCCUGAUCCAGCAAUGCCGCGUGAGUGAUGAAGGCCUUAGGGUUGUAAAGCUCUUUUACCCGGGAUGAUAAUGACAGUACCGGGAGAAUAAGCGCCGGCUAACUCCGUG